GUCCCCGUAGCUCAGCCGGAUAGAGCGCGUCCCUCCUAAGGACGAGGCCACAGGUUCGACUCCUGUCGGGGACGCCA
rnacentral:tRNA from 1 species